rnacentral:lncRNA from 1 species
CUAGCGGAGCAUCCGAGUGCACAGCAAAGCCAAGACAAACACAGCGCUGCUCUCUCCUGAAAAUGUUAGUGGUUUGAAAGAUCUCCGUUGUUGCUCCAUCCCGGAAAAUGAUUCAUCCUCCCCUCGGGGUUUUGACUUGCCUCUGCACGUUUCACAACACUGCCUGGCUUUAUAAGAGCGUGGUUGCACGCGGCGACUCCUAGCAGAUUUCUCGGCUCGGUUGCGAGCGAGGCGGCGGCUAAUCCUUCUAACGAUGAUUUUCCUCUUGCAGCAUUUCAUCUUUCUGGCCAUAGACUUAUUACUCGCGACGACCCUUUCCUGCCUCUUUUAUGCCUUUAUAUGCAUUUCCAUUGCAUUUUUGACCUGCUUCAUUAUCAUCUUCUCCUUCGGCAUUGUGGAGAGGAACAUUGAUGUGAAAGGGAGAGCAAUUGUAGUUCUCGUGUCCAACAGCUCCAUUGGGAGGAUGUUUGCAAGGAACCUGGAUAAAGCAGGUUUCAGGGUGUCUGCUGCACACUGGCCUCCUCGAGAGGAGGGGACAGCUACAGAAGAAGAGUGCUUUUCAAGCACGGAGGUAGCCCAGCUCCACAUGACUGAAGAUGAGUAUCAGAAGACAAUGAAAACCUUCAUAGAAAGCCACUUAUCCCUGAAAGACAACCUCUCUGCCAAGAGCCUAGCAGCCUGGACGUACUCAUAAAAACACAUGAUUAAAGAGUUACACAAUCCAGAAAAGCUGCAGCAACACUUCUCCGCCUCCAUCCCCAUCCCUCGCUCAUCGCCAGCGGGCAGAGCCUGUUGGGGUUCAAAACCUCCACCCCCCACAUCAGAUUGCUGCUGCUGGACCGAGGGGAAAGGCUGAGGGCUGGAAGGGGCUGGCACUUCAGAUCCUGGGCAGAGUCCCCAGGACUCCCCGGGAUCACGGUUUUCAGUCUCGGCGGGGCUCAGUCCCGUCAGUUAGCCUGACCUGUGUUUUAUAGGCCAGAGAACUUCAUUAAGAUUUCAAAAGAACAAACCAGGCAGCCAGGCGUGUGGAAAUACGUGGGCAGGGAAAGCGGGAGCCGAGCUGUGAGCAGUGAGUGGGGUUUGUUGUAAAAUGCAGCAGGUACCUGCGAGCCCCGCUGCGCACAGCAGCGCUGUGUUUAUCUGUUUGUUGCUGGC